UGCCCCGUGGCCUAAUUGGUUAAGGCGUCCGACUGUUAGGACAUCCGUAAAUCGUCAUCGGGAGAUUGAGAGUUCAAUCCUCUCCGGGGCAG
rfam:Botryobasidium botryosum FD-172 SS1 unplaced genomic scaffold BOTBOscaffold_38, whole genome shotgun sequence.